AUUGAACGUUGGCGGCAGGCCUAACACAUGCAAGUCGAACGGUAGCACAGAGAGCUUGCUCUCGGGUGACGAGUGGCGGACGGGUGAGUAACGUCUGGGAAACUGCCCGAUGGAGGGGGAUAACUACUGGAAACGGUAGCUAAUACCGCAUAACGUCGCAAGACCAAAGUGGGGGACCUUCGGGCCUCACACCAUCGGAUGUGCCCAGAUGGGAUUAGCUAGUAGGUGGGGUAAUGGCUCACCUACGCCACGAUCCCUAGCUGGUCUGAGAGGAUGACCAGCCACACUGGAACUGAGACACGGUCCAGACUCCGACGGGCGGCAGCAGUGGGGAAUAUUGCACGAUGGGCGCAAGCCUGAUGCAGCCAUGCCGCGUGUAUGAAGAAGGCCUUCGGGUUGUAAAGUACUUUCAGCGGGGAGGAAGGCGGUGAAGUUAAUAGCUUCACCGAUUGACGUUACCCGCAGAAGAAGCACCGGCUAACUCCGUGCCAGCCGCCGCAGUAA
rnacentral:rRNA from 1 species